AUGUAGCUGGACGAGUCCCAAAUAGAACGAAAUGCGCAUCCUGGAU
rnacentral:hammerhead_ribozyme from 1 species